UUGGCAAAUCCAUGCAAA
rnacentral:miRNA from 1 species